rnacentral:ncRNA from 2 species
CUCUUAUCCGGAGUGGCGGAGGGACUGGCCCUAUGAAGCCCGGCAACCUUUGGGUAUAUAGGCGUACCCAAAAAGGUGCUAAUUCCUGCAGGAGAUUUAUCUUCUGACAGAUAAGGG